GUAUGGCUGUUCGCCAUUUAAAGUGGUACGCGAGCUGGGUUUAGAACGUCGUGAGACAGUUCGGUCCCUAUCUGCCGUGGGCGUUGGAAAUUUGAGAAGAGCUGCUCCUAGUACGAGAGGACCGGAGUGGACGUACCUCUGGUGUUCCAGUUAUCAUGCCAAUGGUAUUGCUGGGUAGCUAUGUACGGACGGGAUAACCGCUGAAAGCAUCUAAGCGGGAAGCCUCCUUCAAGAUGAGAUUUCCCGACCUUUUGGUCCUUAAGGUCCGUUGAAGACUACGACGUUGAUAGGCGGGGUGUGGAAGUGCAGUAAUGUAUGAAGCUAACCCGUACUAAUUGACCGUGAGGCUUGACCCUAUAACACCCAA
rnacentral:rRNA from 1 species